GUCCUUUUGAAUUUAAUUUAAGGUCUAACCUGCCCACUGAAUUUUAAAUGGCCGCAGUAAUUUGACUGUGCAAAGGUAGCAUAAUAAUUAGUUUUUUAAUUUAAAGCUUGUAUGAAGGGUUGGACGAAAUAAAAUCUGUCUCUAUUUAAUUAAAUUUAGAAUUUAACUUUUAAGUUAAAAGGCUUAAAUAUUAUUAAAAGACGAGAAGACCCUAUAGAUCUUUAUAUUUUUUAUAUUAAUUUUAAUUAAGAAUUUUUAAUGUUUUAUUAUUUAAAGUAUUUUAUUGGGGUAAUAUAAAGAUUUAAAUAAUUCUUUUUUAUUUAAACAUUAAUUUAUGAUUUUAAUGAUCCAAUUUUAUUGAUUAUAAGAUUAAGUUACCUUAGGGAUAACAGCGUAAUUUUUUUAGAGAGUUCUUAUCGAUAAAAAAGUUUGCGACCUCGAUGUUGGAUUAAAGAUUAUUUUAGGUGUAGAAGCUUGAAAAUUUUGGUCUGUUCGACCAUUAAAUCUUUACAUGAUCUGAGUUCAGACCGGCGUAAGCCAGGUCGGUUUCUAUCUUUAAUAAAUUAAAAUAUUUUAGUACGAAAGGACCAAUUAUUUAAUAUAUUUAUAUUUAAUUUUUGAAUAUUAUUAA
rnacentral:rRNA from 1 species